rnacentral:rRNA from 1 species
UACGAAGGUCCCAAGCGUUAAUCGGAAUUACUGGGCGUAAAGCGUGCGCAGGCGGUUUGCUAAGACAGGUGUGAAAUCCCCGGGCUUAACCUGGGAACUGCGCUUGUAACUGGCAAGCUGGAGUGUGGCAGAGGGGGGUGGAAUUCCACGUGUAGCAGUGAAAUGCGUAGAGAUGUGGAGGAACACCGAUGGCGAAGGCAGCCCCCUGGGCUAACACUGACGCUCAUGCACGAAAGCGUGGGGAGCAAACAGG